rnacentral:rRNA from 1 species
CAGGCCUAACACAUGCAAGUCGAGCGCCCCGCAAGGGGAGCGGCAGACGGGUGAGUAACGCGUGGGAAUCUACCCAUCUCUACGGAAUAACGCAUGGAAACGUGUGCUAAUACCGUAUACGUCCUUCGGGAGAAAGAUUUAUCGGAGAUGGAUGAGCCCGCGUUGGAUUAGCUAGUUGGUGGGGUAAAGGCCUACCAAGGCGACGAUCCAUAGCUGGUCUGAGAGGAUGAUCAGCCACACUGGGACUGAGACACGGCCCAGACUCCUACGGGAGGCAGCAGUGGGGAAUAUUGGACAAUGGGCGCAAGCCUGAUCCAGCCAUGCCGCGUGAGUGAUGAAGGCCCUAGGGUUGUAAAGCUCUUUCACCGGUGAAGAUAAUGACGGUAACCGGAGAAGAAGCCCCGGCUAACUUCGUGCCAGCAGCCGCGGUAAUACGAAGGGGGCUAGCGUUGUUCGGAUUUACUGGGCGUAAAGCGCACGUAGGCGGACUAUUAAGUCAGGGGUGAAAUCCCGGGGCUCAACCCCGGAACUGCCUUUGAUACUGGUAGUCUUGAGUUCGAGAGAGGUGAGUGGAAUUCCGAGUGUAGAGGUGAAAUUCGUAGAUAUUCGGAGGAACACCAGUGGCAAAGGCGGCUCACUGGCUCGAUAC